CAGUCGCCGCGGUAAUACGAAGGGGGCUAGCGUUGCUCGGAAUGACUGGGCGUAAAGGGCGCGUAGGCGGAUCACGCAGUCAGAUGUGAAAUUCCUGGGCUUAACCUGGGGGCUGCAUUUGAGACGCGUGGUCUAGAGUGUGAAAGAGGGUCGUGGAAUUCCCAGUGUAGAGGUGAAAUUCGUAGAUAUUGGGAAGAACACCGGUGGCGAAGGCGGCGACCUGGUUCAUAACUGACGCUGAGGCGCGAAAGCGUGGGGAGCAAACAGGAUUAGAUACCCCCGUAGUCCCUGUCUCUUAUAA
rnacentral:rRNA from 1 species